GCUACUUGAGUCAGCCUGACUGAUGUGUUCAUGCUAAUAGAUUUGUAAAUUCCAUUGGCCUCUCUGGUGAGCAGUUCAUCUGGAACUAUCUGUUCAAUGGAAGACAGGUGCAGUUUUGAUAUUAGUGAGGCACCUAUGCAGGUUACAUGGAUCACUGCAUGGAGCAACAUCCAGUUAGGAUGCUGUUUGAUCAGCUAGAUGCCAAUAUAUUUUUGCUCAAACUGACCAAUUAGCCGAAACAGGAUUAUCAUACCAAUUCCUGUUUCUAGUCAAAUUGAAGGCACUUCUCAUCAUCGCAGUUGGGAGAUAGUCAGUGUCAGGCUCUCCACACCUAGGAUUUGCGGAGUUCCAUGUCUUGCUUUGCUUUGGGAGCAAUAAAUUAUAAUUGUCAUUCUUUUCCUCAGACAAUAUUAAACAGUCUGCCUCUGCAACACAUAUUAUGUUGAGGCAUAUGGCUCCAGAAUACUUCUUUUUUUACUUCAUGCAUGGGAUCAUAACAAGAAGAUUCCAAUGUUUUGAUAUGGACCUUUUACUUCUCCAAUUAUCAAUCUAUUCUUGAAGGCAAAACCGCCGCUUGACUGGAGAACAUGAAAGAGCUAGUUGAUCCUUCUCUUGAUAUUGGAUAGGACACAGAGAAGAAAACACACUGCAGCAGAUCCAUUCAUGUGUAUUGACACAGCGCA